rnacentral:rRNA from 1 species
UACAGAGGGUGCGAGCGUUAAUCGGAAUUACUGGGCGUAAAGCGUGCGUAGGUGGUUCGUUAAGUCUGAUGUGAAAGCCCUGGGCUCAACCUGGGAAUGGCAUUGGAAACUGGCGACCUAGAGUGCGGUAGAGGGCAGUGGAAUUCCCGGUGUAGCAGUGAAAUGCGUAGAGAUCGGGAGGAACAUCUGUGGCGAAGGCGACUGUCUGGACCAGCACUGACACUGAGGCACGAAAGCGUGGGGAGCAAACAGG